rnacentral:rRNA from 1 species
CAGUCGCCGCGGUAAUACGUAGGGUGCGAGCGUUAAUCGGAAUUACUGGGCGUAAAGCGUGCGUAGGCGGCUUCUUAAGUCGGAUGUGAAAUCCCUGAGCUUAACUUAGGAAUUGCAUUCGAUACUGGGAAGCUAGAGUAUGGGAGAGGAUGGUAGAAUUCCAGGUGUAGCGGUGAAAUGCGUAGAGAUCUGGAGGAAUACCGAUGGCGAAGGCAGCCAUCUGGCCUAAUACUGACGCUGAGUUACGAAAGCAUGGGGAGCAAACAGGAUUAGAUACCCCAGUAGUCCCUGUCUCUUAUAC